GAAUAAUUGAUGAUUUUUAUGACUUUUGAACCAUGAUGAGUAUACACCAUCAUAAGCAUAUGCCUAGAAAGAACAUGCUUUGGACUCCCAACGGUUGUUGCGACUUUUUGAUGUACAGAGUUUGAUGUACAGAUAGGCUCUAAAAGAUGGUUAGAGUAUAUCUGCAUUGUCAAAAUU
rnacentral:ribozyme from 12 species